GCUGACACAUCCCGGCCAAUCUCCAGCAGACCCUCCCUCCCAGACCCUCCCACCUCCUGGACAGCAUCCAUGUUGAAGGCAGCUUCAACAUGGAUGCUGUCCAGGAGGUGGGAGGGUCUAGGAGGGAGGGUCUGCUGGAGAUUGGCUGGGAUGUGUAAG